GCAAGAGUAAAGAGGUAGUUUUCGAGGAUCAAGAAUCAGAGUAUCCCGAAUUCGAUUCCCAUUACAGUGAAUAACCUUAUUAUCAUCUUAAUUAUCUAAAGUAUGUUUUUUAUCUGAUAUUGUAAUUUUAUGGAAAAUGUGUUUAAAUGAAAUGAUUUUAUAAAUUGUUUUGAAAUUUAAUGAUGACUUGAAAAUGGAGUAAUUGGAGACUACUUGCUAUAUUGUAAAUUAUGUUUUCAAUUGAAUGGCUUAUGAUAAUGUGGGCAUGAAUGGCUAGAUGGGUAUUUGUGUUGAAAAUGUAUAAACUAUUGUUUGCCUUGAUAGGCUAGAUAAUGAUAAAAUUGCCAUGUCAUGCUGUUGAAUUUUUAUUGAAUUGGUGGGUUAUAGAUUGGUCACUACAGUGGCGAGUUCUGUGGACCAGCUUAUUAGAGGGGCACGAAAUUCGGGUAUAUUCUUACCUCGAUCGGAGAGGCACAUAGGGUAACUCCUGAGGUAAAACUUUAGAGUUCACUUCACGCUGAACCACCACGUGAGGGUGAACUCUGCCAACGCCAAGGAACGGCUAUGUUUUCAAAAUAAAAAACAUGAUUUAUGCGUACAUGACUUUUUAACAGCCUUGGAAGACUUGGUUGGUAUAGCCCCAAGCCAAGGUAUCCCUGACAACUGAGUAUGAGAAUGAUUUUGGCACGAGCCAAGCUUUUCAGGAAAUCAUAAGCCUCGUUGUUUAUUUAGUUGAAAUGAAUCUAUUUUAUCUUAUUAAAAUGAGUUCGAAAUGCUGUGAAUCAGUUUUAUGCUAAUCUAUUUUAUCUGUGUCCAUUUACUCUGCUUUAGAUAUUUUAGAUGGUAUUUUUUUACUCAUUGGGAUUAUAUAAUCUCACCACCCUCCUUUCCACCCAUUUCAGGCUCAGGAUAGUCAGUAGAUAGCUCAUUUCGUUGAGGGUUACAGUUGGACUUGCAUCCUCAAAAACUGUAGGUUCACAGCCUUCAUUACUUUUAGUCAUUCGGGGGCCCACAUGUCAUUGUUAAAUGUUUUGAAUACCUGGCUGCGUGUGCUACUGUAUGUAGGAAUUUAUUUUUCUUUUAUGCUGUAAAAAUUAUUUACGUA
rnacentral:lncRNA from 1 species